UGAGGAAUAUUGGACAAUGGAUGGAAAUCUGAUCCAGCCAUGCCGCGUGCAGGAAGAAUGUCCUAUGGAUUGUAAACUGCUUUUGUAUGGGAGCAAUAAGGUCUUCGUGAAGGCCGAUGAGAGUACCAUACGAAUAAGCACCGGCUAACUCCGUGCCAGCAGCCGCGGUAAUACGGAGGGUGCAAGCGUUAUCCGGAUUUAUUGGGUUUAAAGGUGCGUAGGCGGUUAUAUAAGUCAGCGGUGAAAUUUUUCGGCUCAACCGGAAACAUGCCGUUGAUACUGUAUAGCUUGAAUAUGGUUGCUGUGAGUGGAAUGUGUAGUGUAGCGGUGAAAUGCUUAGAUAUUACACAGAAUAUCGAUUGCGAAGCAACUCACAAAGCCAUUAUUGACGCUGAGGCA
rnacentral:rRNA from 1 species